rnacentral:rRNA from 1 species
GACGAACGUUGGCGGCGUGCUUAACACAUGCAAGUCGAACGGAAAGGCCCUGCUUUUGUGGGGUGCUCGAGUGGCGAACGGGUGAGUAACACGUGAGUAACCUGCCCUUGACUUUGGGAUAACUUCAGGAAACUGGGGCUAAUACCGGAUAGGAGCUCCUGCUGCAUGGUGGGGGUUGGAAAGUUUCGGCGGUUGGGGAUGGACUCGCGGCUUAUCAGCUUGUUGGUGGGGUAGUGGCUUACCAAGGCUUUGACGGGUAGCCGGCCUGAGAGGGUGACCGGCCACAUUGGGACUGAGAUACGGCCCAAAUUCCUACGGAAGGAACCAUGGGGAAAAAUUGACCAUGGGGGGAAACCUGAAUGCACCACCCCCCCGGGCGGAAGAACGGCCUUCGGGUGGAAAACCCUUUCCCCCGGGAACAAACCGGGAUGGACGGUAUGGGGAAAAAAACCACCGGUUACUUACUGGCCACCACCCCCGUGAAUACUAAGGGGGCAACCUUUGCCCGAAUUAAUGGGCCUAAAAGGCUUCGAAGUUGGUUAAUCCCUCCGAAAUGAUAUCCUGGGGGUUAACCCUGAGCGUGCUUUCGAUACGGGUUGACUUGAGGAAGGUAGGGGAGAAUGGAAUUCCUGGUGGAGCGGUGGAAUGCGCAGAUAUCAGGAGGAACACCAGUGGCGAAGGCGGUUCUCUGGGCCUUUCCUGACGCUGAGGAGCGAAAGCGUGGGGAGCGAACAGGCUUAGAUACCCUGGUAGUCCACGCUGUAAACGGUGGGUACUAGGUGUGGGGUCCAUUCCACGGGUUCCGUGCCGUAGCUAACGCUUUAAGUACCCCGCCUGGGGAGUACGGCCGCAAGGCUAAAACUCAAAGGAAUUGACGGGGCCCCGCACAAGCGGCGGAGCAUGCGGAUUAAUUCGAUGCAACGCGUAGAACCUUACCUGGGUUUGACAUGGAUCGGGAGCGCUCAGAGAUGGGUGUGCCUCUUUUGGGGUCGGUUCACAGGUGGUGCAUGGCUGUCGUCAGCUCGUGUCGUGAGAUGUUGGGUUAAGUCCCGCAACGAGCGCAACCCUUGUUCACUGUUGCCAGCACGUUAUGGUGGGGACUCAGUGGAGACCGCCGGGGUCAACUCGGAGGAAGGUGGGGAUGACGUCAAGUCAUCAUGCCCCUUAUGUCCAGGGCUUCACGCAUGCUACAAUGGCUGGUACAGAGAGUGGCGAGCCUGUGAGGGUGAGCGAAUCUCGGAAAGCCGGUCUCAGUUCGGAUUGGGGUCUGCAACUCGACCUCAUGAAGUCGGAGUCGCUAGUAAUCGCAGAUCAGCAACGCUGCGGUGAAUACGUUCCCGGGGCU